rnacentral:rRNA from 1 species
CCUACGGGUGGCAGCAGUGAGGAAUAUUGGUCAAUGGGCGCGAGCCUGAACCAGCCAAGUCGCGUGAGGGAAGACGGUCCUAUGGAUUGUAAACUUCUUUUGUCGGGGAGUAAAGGACACCACGCGUGGUGUUCUGCGUGUACCUUAUGAAAAAGCAUCGGCUAACUCCGUGCCAGCAGCCGCGGUAAUACGGAGGAUGCGAGCGUUAUCCGGAUUUAUUGGGUUUAAAGGGUGCGAGGGGGGAUGGUCAAGUCAGCGGGAAAAUUGGGCGGCUCAACCUAAUAGAGCCGUUGAAACUGGUUUUCUUGAGUAAAGGAGAAGUAGGCGGAAUGCGUGGUGUAGCGGUGAAAUGCAUAGAUAUCACGCAGAACUCCGAUUGCGAAGGCAGCAUGCCGGCGCUCAACUGACGCUCAUGCACGAAAGUGUGGGUAUCGAACAGGAUUAGAUACCCGGGUAGUC